UCCCGUUUAGCUCAGUUGGUAGAGCGCGUUACUAGUAAUGACGAGGUCAGUCGUUCAAGUCGGCUAAUGGGAA